rnacentral:rRNA from 1 species
UAGGGAAUAUUGGACAAUGGGUGAGAGCCUGAUCCAGCCAUGCCGCGUGCAGGAAGAAGGCCUUCUGGGUUGUAAACUGCUUUUGCCGGGGGAUAAAAGGCCCCUGCGGGGGACAUUGAAGGUACCCGGUGAAUAAGCCACGGCUAACUACGUGCCAGCAGCCGCGGUAAUACGUAGGUGGCAAGCGUUGUCCGGAUUUAUUGGGUUUAAAGGGUGCGUAGGCGGCCCCGUAAGUCAGUGGUGAAAUACGGCAGCUCAACUGUCGAGGUGCCAUUGAUACUGCGGGGCUUGAGUAUGGACGAGGUAAGCGGAAUUGACGGUGUAGCGGUGAAAUGCUUAGAUAUCGUCAAGAACACCGAUAGCGAAGGCAGCUUACUAGGCCAUAACUGACGCUGAGGCACGAAGGUGCGGGGAUCAAACAGGAUUAGAUACCCCUGUAGUCCCUGAGCGGGCUGGCAAGGCGCAU